UGGUAGCUUCUGAGGGCUGUGAGGCCGCGGAGGGUUUGCGAGCCAAGGCUCUCUCUCUGUCCCCAGGGGACUCUGCAACCUGUCUAGGUGCUCCUUCCCUGCGCAUAGUAACAUUCCAGGGAGCUGCCUGGGGAAGCUUAACUCUCAAUGCAAGGGGUAGGAAUGUAUCCUGGUGGGAGAGGCAUGACAGCAGGCAGCUGGAACAGGAAACUAAGUAAUAACAUCUUCAACUACAAGCAGAAGUCAAGAAAAACUGAAAGCGACAACUGGAACCCUGAGAGCCAAGGGAGAUUGUGGAGAGGAUGUGAGCAGAUGGCCGCUGAGGAUAGCUGACCGGGUGGGCUGGAACCCAGGCCAGGACUGCCACCUGAGGAUUGUGCCUGCGAUGUCCAUAUGAUGGUGAAGAGCCAAACAGGGAGCUCUGCUCUGUUGAAAAUCAUAAAGUUGAAAAUGAAAAGAGAUAAAGCCUUAAGCACAGAAGAAUAUUUUGUCUUUGGUGGAAAGAACAACUUAAGAUUUAUUUUAUUUUUUUAUUCUGUAUAUUGGUGUGGGUAUGUGCAUGCAAAUUUGGGUGACUCAAAUCACUUGGAGCUGGGAUUAUAGGCAGUUGAGAGCUGCCAAGCAUAGGAAUCUAACGAAUGUUAGUAUUCUCUGUAUGAGCAGAGAGUACUCCUAACUGCAGAGCCAUAUUUCCAGCUUAAGGAGGGCUUUCAGAAACAAGAUUGAUAGAGAAUACAAAGUUAAUAAUUUGAUGUAUUAAAAAGGUUAAUUUUUAGUCACUAUAGACACUAGAAAUAAUAUUUAUAAUGUAUAUAAUGCAUGUGAUUAUAGAACUAGAAGUAACAACAUUAAAUAUAAAGGAAUCAUUGUAAAUCAGAUAAGAGAGAUGGCCACCCCAGUAGGAAAAAAAACCCAUUAAAGUAACUAAAAUGUGG
ensembl:processed_transcript Eldr Egfr long non-coding downstream RNA